AAGGGAACCCGUAGCCGCUACCUGAAGGUGUGCACUAGGUAAACCCCGCCUUGUGAUCCUAGCCGGCAAAGGAGCACAAGGAGGUAAACCAGCCUAGGUUACCCAUAGUUGACCGGCUCAAACCAAGAAGGCCAAUAGACAGCUCCAACGGGAAUCGAACUAGCAACCUCACGAUUGCUAGUCCAACUGCCCGACCAACUUGGCUGGGG
rnacentral:lncRNA from 1 species